rnacentral:rRNA from 1 species
AUUGAACGCUGGCGGCAUGCCUUACACAUGCAAGUCGAACGGCAGCACGGGAGCAAUCCUGGUGGCGAGUGGCGAACGGGUGAGUAAUAUAUCGGAACGUGCCCAGUCGUGGGGAUAACGUAGCGAAAGCUACGCUAAUACCGCAUACGAUCUACGGAUGAAAGCGGGGGAUCGCAAGACCUCGCGCGAUUGGAGCGGCCGAUAUCAGAUUAGGUAGUUGGUGAGGUAAAGGCUCACCAAGCCGACGAUCUGUAGCUGGUCUGAGAGGACGACCAGCCACACUGGGACUGAGACACGGCCCAGACUCCUACGGGAGGCAGCAGUGGGGAAUUUUUGGGACAAUGGGCGCAAGCCUGAUCCAGCAAUGCCGCGUGCAGGAUGAAGGCCUCGGUUGUAACUAGACGUUUGUUACGGUAACGGUAAACGGUAACGG